rnacentral:lncRNA from 8 species
GUUUAAAUGUUUUAAAGCCUAAAACAUGUUCACAAGCGGCAUAAAGACUCUGAAUGAUAUGGUACUUGGCUCUUGGUCUCAGACCCAAGAAGAGCACAGUACUGGUGUCUUGGGCCGGAUCGGGAGCUGGUUCUCCCCCUGGAAAGAAAGAGGGAGCCCCAGGAGUCCAAGUGACGACGAUGCCUCUCAGUCCCCGACGGAAGACCAGAGCCCCAGGCCAGAAGGAGAGGGGGCCCAGGAGGAACCUGUGAGGGGAGAAGAGGAGCAGCAAAAGGAGGGACAGAAUUCCCAGCCUGCCCAGCGGCAUCGCUCCAGGGUUUUUGAGGAGUGGAACGCGGCGGACGCCAGAGCGUCUACCCACAGGGACAGCCCCCUCUCUGCAGCCAGCAGCCACAGCGAGUGGGGAGAAAGAGGAGGUCCUAGGGAGGAGGAGUGGUGGAUUGCCUCGCAGGGAGAGGAAACGGAGGAGGAGGGGGGAAGGAGCAGUGGAGCGAGCGGGAAUCCUGCCCCGAAGAGGAAUGCCAGCCAUCUGACACGUGUGCUUUCAUCUGCCCUUGAAGAGGGAGUGGCCUGGGAGGACUCUGACCGACAGGAACACACCCAGGCCCUGCCCCGAGCCCAAGUCCAGGCAGGCAAGAGGCUGCAUGUGUACCUGGAGGAGACGAGCCUGAGCCUGAGCCAGAACAGAACGGACACCCACACAAAGCAGGAAGUGCCCCACGCCAUCAUCACCACCAAGGUGAAGAAAAGACUUCAGGUGGUUUCCAGAGCAAAAUCAUCCAAGAGUGUUGACUUGUCAUCAGAGAACACCAAUACAAAGGAGAGGACCGAGGAGCGCAAAAGGAUUUGUCUCAAAGCUGCUAUAGGGAUCAAAGGUCAUAGCAGUUACAGUGCCCUGGUGGGAGUGUCACUGAAGUCCCCUACAGAGACACAGACGAGCUCACAGACCAUCCCUGAGCUCUCUGGUGAAGAGGAGUCAGACAGAGACACAGACACGAUGGGCCGUAAGAACUCAGGCAGGAGGCGGUCCAGGAAGAACUCCUCCGGAGACGGAGGAGGAGCCAGUUCUCAGGAGAAUACGCCCACCAAACCCCAGCCUGGAACCGAGAACUCACCUACAUCAUCAGAAUAUAACACACCUAAACCUGGAGACUCCACCCCCUCCUCUUCUAAAGACAAACAUGCUUCAGUUCCAACAAAAACACGCAGAGGGAAGGAGAGGGAGGAAGCCCAGGAGGACCUAGACGCACCAGUACACGCCACCCUGGUGGCCGUGGUGGACGGGGAAGGGGACAUGGGCGUAGACGUGGUCGACGACACUAGCCCAUGCCGGGUGGAGAGGCGCACGGAGAGCGCAGAGUCCAAACGCCGGAGCAUGAAGGUGUCACACAGCGAGGUGAAGUUCUUUGCGAAGAGAGUGAUGGUGAACUCGGAGCAGCCACUGAGUCCAGAGGGUGAUGGAGGACACGUUGCCGUGAGCUUUGAGAAAGGAGGGAUGGCUACAGGAAAGGUCACGGAGGGUCAUGAUACAGCUAAGGGAAAGGGCAAGGUGGAACCGAAGGUGACCAAGAGGUGAGUUGUGUUUACCUGACUACUUGAUUACUGUAUUGUUGGAUAACCUACUUCCUGACUACGCAGUUUAGGAAUCAGAUGUUAUUUAAAUACUUAAAAAUAUCUCUGUUUAUAGCAAAAAAAGUUUUCCCUUUACAGGUAGAAUAUCUUUGUAGUGCAUCAAAAUAUGUCCUACAUUUGUUGGCAUUUCAACCACUAUCUCCACUUAGCUGAUAAAGUAUUUUCAAAACACUAAAUCCAUUGAGAUAGAUUUUGUGUGUGAUAUAGAACAAAUGUAGUGUAUUUACAGCUAGAUCAAUUGAAUAUCAGGGUUUUUGUUCAAAUUGAGACAGAACACAUGCUUCUUUGUUUUCAUUGGUCACAGACCACCUGAUCUAAAGAAAGUGGACGAGGAAUCCAAGACUCCUCAGCCUAUUGGGCGGAUCGCAGAUAGGAUCA